rnacentral:rRNA from 1 species
ACUCAAAUGAAUUGACGGGGGCCCGCACAAGCGGUGGAGCAUGUGGUUUAAUUCGAUGCAACGCGAAGAACCUUACCUACCCUUGACAUUUAGUGAACGUGGCAGAGAUGCUAUGGUGCCUUCGGGAACACUAGGACAGGUGCUGCAUGGCUGUCGUCAGCUCGUGUCGUGAGAUGUUGGGUUAAGUCCCGUAACGAGCGCAACCCUUAUUCUUAGUUGCCAGCGCGUAGAGGCGGGAACUCUAAGGAGACUGCCGGUGACAAACCGGAGGAAGGCGGGGAUGACGUCAAGUCAUCAUGGCCCUUAUGGGUAGGGCUACACACGUGCUACAAUGGCCGGUACAGAGGGAAGCGAAGGGGUGACCUGGAGCGAAUCUUGAAAAGCUGGUCGUAGUCCGGAUUGGAGUCUGCAACUCGACUCCAUGAAGUUGGAAUCGCUAGUAAUCGCGAAUCAGCAUGUCGCGGUGAAUACGUUCCCGGGCCUUGUACACACCGCCCGU